AUUGAACGCUGGCGGCAGGCCUAACACAUGCAAGUCGAACGGUAACAGGAAACAGCUUGCUGUUUCGCUGACGAGUGGCGGACGGGUGAGUAAUGUCUGGGAAACUGCCUGAUGGAGGGGGAGAACUACUGGAAACGGUAGCUACUACCGCAUAACGUCGCAAGACCAAAGAGGGGGACCCUCGGGCCUCUUGCCAUCGGAUGUGCCCAGAUGGGAUUAGCUUGUUGGUGGGGUAACGGCUCACCAAGGCGACGAUCCCUAGCUGGUCUGAGAGGAUGACCAGCAACACUUGAACUGAGACACGGUCCAGACUCCUACGGGAGGCAGCAGUGGGGAAUAUUGCCCAAUGGGCGCAAGCCUGAUGCAGCCAUGCCGCGUGUAUGAAGAAGGCAUUCGGGUUGUAAAGUACUUUCAGCGGGGAGGAAGGGAGUAAAGUUAAUACCUUUGCUCAUUGACGUUACCCGCAGAAGAAGCACCGGCUAACUCCGUG
rnacentral:rRNA from 1 species